GCCUAGUUAGCUUGGUUGGUAGCGCGUCUGCCUUGUAAGCGCUAGGUCGCGGGUUCGAUUCCCGCCCGUGGUG
rnacentral:tRNA from 1 species